rnacentral:rRNA from 1 species
CAACUUCUGUGCACUUUUCAUAGGCCGGCUUGUGGGUCGUUCGCGGCUCGUAGGNGUCGGGCUUAUGCUUUACUACAAACGAUUCAGUUUUAGAAUGUCAUACUUUGCUAUAACGCAAUUAUAUA